GGAGGCUUAGCUCAGUUGGUCAGAGCGCCCGCUUCACACGCGGGAGGUCACUGGUUCAAGUCCAGCAGUCUCCACCA
rnacentral:tRNA from 1 species